UACGAAGGUGGCAAGCGUUGUUCGGAUUUACUGGGCGUACAGGGAGCGUAGGCGGUUGGAUAAGCCCUCCGUGAAAUCUCCAGGCUUAACCUGGAAAGUGCAGAGGGGACUGUUCAGCUAGAGGAUGGGAGAGGAGCGCGGAAUUCCCGGUGUAGCGGUGAAAUGCGUAGAUAUCGGGAGGAACAUCAGUGGCGAAGGCGGCUGCCUGGCCCAAUACUGACACUCAGGUGCGACAGCGUGGGGAGCAAACAGGG
rnacentral:rRNA from 1 species